rnacentral:lncRNA from 1 species
CAACAAUCAACAUGCUAUGCUGAUUGCUUAAGAAAGCCUGGGCUAGAGAGGGUAGCUGGUUUUCUGUGUGGAUGAGGAGGCUGGAGGGUGUUGUGAGGACCAGAAUAUGUUGCAUUAAGUAGAACUGUGCAUAUAUCAGAUCACUCCAUGGUGCUGUGGCUGAUCUACAGGAAUCCUGACUCCCUGCUAAAUGUAUGCCAAGCAUAUUGGGCUGGCAGUCAGCAAAGGCCUUGUCUUGGGUUCAGGAAGGGACUAGGAUACCUGAAGCACCACACCGAAGAGAAGAAGCUCUGGUGGCAUCCAGUCUGUCCUGGAAGAAAUACAGGAUCAGUCUCAGAAAAAAAUUGGAGAGUUUCUGGUGGCACUGCUGCUGCUCUCAGACUUUGAAUUAUUUCCCCUGCGUUAGCCCAGGAGAAGACACAGAUGUUGCUGGAUAAGGUUCUGUGCAGUUCUUGCUAUAGGUUUGUGUGCAGACCAGGUCAAGGAGAUCCCAGUCUCAGCAGAGGUCUUGUGGCAAUAUGGGAACACAGACAUCAAGCAACAGUGGGGCUUUUGGUUCCUCCAAGGGUUUAGCAGGAGUGAAGUGCCUGACAGCUGCUGACUCUGGGCCAUUUUUAUUCAAGUAGGAUGUAGAGACAAUUUGGAUCAGGAGGUAAGAUAUCUAGUGACUGCAAAGACCCCUAAGGAAAGAAGAGGAAGAAUAUUUUUGGAUGGGCGCUUUUAUUUGGGUCUAGAUUUUCCUCCUGUGGACCUUACUUCCAAUUCUCCUUUGGUGUCUUUUAGAUUAACCAUUUUUCUUGACUCAAGAAUAAUUUAAAUUCUCACUUGUAUUUUAUUUUAGUUCUAUGUUUUAUUUUUGGUUUAAAGACAUUGGUUCAUAGCUAUAACAGAAUCUUAUGUGCUACAGUUCUCCUGCAGUGAUUGAAAAACCAGUAUGUUAUGUCAGUAAAAGCAAGUGGUAGCUGCUGACCUAAGUUAUAAGAAAAAAUUAAACAAUCUAACAGCAAUUUUUUUAAUUUCUUUUUUUUUUUUUGACUUUUCAGCUUUCAGAAUAAACAUGUCAUGGAACUGAGAAGCUUGGAAACU